rnacentral:misc_RNA from 1 species
GAUGAAGAACGUAGCGAAAUGCGAUAAGUAAUGUGAAUUGCAGAAUUCAGUGAAUCAUCGAGUCUUUGAACGCACAUUGCGCCCCCUGGUAUUCCGGGGGGCAUGCCUGUCCGAGCGUCAUUGCUGCCCUCAAGCACGGCUUGUGUGUUGGGCCCCGCCCCCCGGCUUCGGGGGGCGGGCCCGAAAGGCAGCGGCGGCACCGCGUCCGGUCCUCGAGCGUAUGGGGCUUCGUCACCCGCUCUGUAGGCCCGGCCGGCGCCCGCCGGCGACCCCAAUCAAUCUUUCCAGGUUGACCUCGGAUCAGGUAGGGAUACCCGCUGAACUUAAGCAUAUCAAUAAGCGGAGGA